CGGCGGCUGCGCGCGGAGGAGGUGGAGGCGGUGCCCGGCGGCCGCUUCCCACCCCCGAGCCGGAGCCGGUGCCGAGCGGAGCGGAGCCGAGGUCGGUCCGGGAGCGGAGCCGGCUGAGCGACGCCGAGCUCCCACCAUGGCCCGGAACACCCUGUCUUCGCGCUUCCGCCGGGUGGAUAUCGACGAGUUCGACGAGAACAAAUUCGUGGACGAGCAGGAGGAGGCGGCGGCGGCGGCGGGAGAGCCAGGCCCGGACCCUAGCGAGGUGGACGGGCUCCUGCGGCAAGGGGACAUGCUUCGGGCGUUCCACGCCGCCUUGCGGAACUCUCCGGUCAACACCAAGAACCAGGCUGUGAAGGAGCGAGCCCAGGGCGUGGUGCUGAAGGUGCUCACUAACUUCAAAAGCAGCGAAAUUGAGCAGGCGGUGCAGUCUCUGGACAGAAACGGCAUCGACUUGUUAAUGAAGUACAUUUAUAAAGGGUUUGAGAAGCCCACGGAAAACAGCAGUGCAGUGCUGCUUCAGUGGCAUGAAAAGGCAGGACAGGGGGCCCUUGCUGUGUGCCAUGGGUGCAGGUGACCAGGCGUGGUGUGGAGUGGCAGGGAUGCUUCCUGGCUGGCUGGCGCGUCAUGGCCUUAGCAGUAGGAGGACUAGGCUCCAUUAUUAGAGUUCUUACAGCAAGAAAGACUGUUUAAAAGUCAAAGGACUUGUUACCUCGAGAACUUUGGAUGCCCAGGCCGGUGCAGAAGGGACUGACAAUGGACCACCUUCCUAGGAGCGCCCGACUCGACUCUUCCAGGACUCGUGGCCGCUGAAGUGUAUUUUAUUUUCAAGGUGGAGGGAGAAAUCGUCUGUUUCCCAAAUCCUCUGCAGGACCUGAUCGUCUCUUUUGCCUUCGUCUACACAGUACUGCAGAACGGGCACUGGGACCGGACAGAGAGGCUGGCCAGCACUGGUCAGGUGGAGCUGUGCGUGCUGCCAGCUGAGGCUGGGGGAGGGAUGGUUUGGGCAGGUGCAGACCCAAGGGCUGUGGUGAAAGGGACAGCUUGUGGGAAAACCCGAGUUUGUACAGACCCCCGACCUCCCGGGAAGGUGGGCUCUCGGGUUCGUUGUAAAGUGCCUGCUGCAUCAAUAAAGCUCUUGGCUUCUUAGUAUACA